UAGCCGUAAACGAUACUCGCUAGGUGUCGGCCACGGUGCGACCGUUGUCGGUGCCGUAGGGAAGCCGUGAAGCGAGCCACCUGGGAAGUACGGCCGCAAGGCUGAAACUUAAAGGAAUUGGCGGGGGAGCACCACAACGGGUGGAGCUUGCGGUUUAAUUGGACUCAACGCCGGGAAGCUCACCGGAUAAGACAGCGGAAUGAUUGCCGGGCUGAAGACCCUGCAUGACCAGCUGAGAGGAGGUGCAUGGCGUAGUCGUG
rnacentral:rRNA from 1 species